rnacentral:rRNA from 1 species
ACGACUCUCAGCAACGGAUAUCUCGGCUCUAGCAUCAAUGAAGAACGUAGUGAAAUGCGAUACUUUGUGUGAAUCAUCGAGUCUUUGAACCCAAGUUGCACCCGAAGCCAUUCAACUGAGGGCACGUCUACCUGGGUAUCACACAUCGCUGCCCCAACCCCAAACACUUCUUAUGCUGUGUGGGGUGCGGGGCAGACAUUGGCCUCCCGUGUGCUUUUGCUCGCGGUUAGCCUAAAAGUGAGUCCUAGGCAACGAGCGCCAUGACAAUAAGUGGUUGAGAAACCCUCGUGACCCGUCGUGUGUUGCUCUUCACUAUGAAGGUGCUCCUCGACCCUAUUGUGUCGUUCUUGCGACUCUACCAUCGCGACCCCAGGUCAGGCGGGAUUACCCACUGAAUUUAAGCAUAUCAAUAAGCGGAGGAAAAGAAACUUACAAGGAUUCCCCUAGUAACGGCGAGCGAACCGGGAAGAGCCCAGCUUGAGAAUCGGGUGCCACUCGGCAUUCAAACUGUAGUCUGGAGAAGCGUCCUCAGCGGCAGACCCGGCCCGAGUCCCCUAGAAGGGGGCGCCAGAGAGUGUGAGAGCCCCGACCCUACCACACCACGAGGUGCUGUCGGCGAGUUGGGUUGUUUGGGAAUGCAGCCCCAAUUGGACGGUAAAUUUUGUCCAAGGCUAAAUAUGUGGGCAAGAGAACUAGAGUAAACAAGUACAGCGAGGGAAAAAUGAAAAUGACUUUGAAAAGAGAGUCAAAGAGUGCUUGAAAUUGUCGGGAGGGAAGCGGAUGGGGGCCGGCGAUGCGCCCCGGUCGGAUGUGGAACGGUGUAUGCCGGUCUGCCGAUCGACUCGGGGUGUGGACCGAUGCAGAUUGCAACGGCGGCCCAAGCCCGGGUUGUACUCAUGCCCAUGGAGACGUCGUUGCCGCUCCGCGGGCAACACAUGCCACAAGGUGUUCUUCAGCAUAUGCGUGUUCUUGGCAUCGACCCUUGGGUCCAUUCGGCCAGCUUGAAACAUGGACCAAGGAGUCUGACAUGUGUGCGAGUCGAAUGGCUAGUAAACUUGUAGCGCAAGGAAGCUUAUUGGUGGGAUCCCCUUGUGGGUUGCACCGCCGACCGACCUUGAUCUUCUGAGAAGGGUUCGAGUGAGAGCAUACCUGUCGGGACCCGAAAGAUGGUGAACUAUGCCUGAGCAGGGCGAAGCCAGAGGAAACUCUAGUGAAGGCCCGUAGCGAUACUGACGUGCAAAUCGUUCGUCUGACUUGGGUAUAGGGGCGAAAGACUAAUCGAACCGUCUAGUAGCUGGUUCCAUCCAAAGUUUCCCUCAAGAUAGCUGGAGCUCACGGGCGAGUUCUAUCGGGUAAAGCCAAUGAUUAGAGGCAUCGGGGGCGCAACGCCCUCGACCUAUUCUCAAACUUUAAAUAGGUAGGAUGGCACGGCUACUUUGUUAAGUCGUGCCAAGGAAGCAAGAACUCCGAGUGGGCCAUUUUUGGUAAGCAAAACUGGCGAUGCGGGAUGAACCCGAAGCCGGAUUACGGUGCUCAACUGUGCGCUAACCUAGAACCCACAAAGGGUGUUGGUCGAUUAAGACAACAACAUAGUGGUCAGGGAAGUCGAAAUUCAUUAAGGAGUGUGUAACAACUCACCUGCCGAAUCAACUAGCCCCGAAAAUGGAUGGCGCUGAAGCGCGCGACCUAUACCCGGCCGCUUGGAGGGCGCAGCGUUGGCUGCAAAACCUAGGGCGCUAGCCGAGGCGGAGUGGCUGUCAGUGCAGAUCUUGUUGGUAGUAGCAAAUAUUCAACUAAGAACUUUGAAGGCUGAAGAGGGGAAAUGAUAUGAACCCGCGGGAUUGAAAUCCCUUGAACCCACAAUCAAUUUGAAAACUCUCCAAGAAAGCCAAAAUCAAGUCAACGGAUGGAGAACCUAGACCCAAUGAGAACUCGUUUCAAGAACCUAGAUUAUAUUAAAAUCUAGACCCGUUGAAGAACCCUUCUCAAGAACCUAGAUUACAAAGGAGGAACGCCACAAAGGUUGUGAUUUACCUUUGAUAAGUUCAAGAGUUCAAUAAAAAACAAGAGGAGGAAACUCGACUCACAAAUAAAAUUCAAUAUUGUCUAAGCUUCAAAUGAGGCUACAAGGAGUAUUUAAACUAAACCUAAUAAAACCCUAGCCAAAAUAAAGCCCCCUUUACCCAAAAUGCCCCUGAUGAACAUUGUCGCAGCUAGUAUGACUACAGUAAUGCUACAGUAACCUCUUGAAACCCUAGUUCCUAAAAAGUAACUUUCCAAAUAAGCCAUUGGCCAAAAUACAAGGCCUUCCAGAAAAUCCUAGUUCAUUAAAAAUAAGACGUGUGGGCCAAGCAUCUUCAAGCCUACUUAUUCUAAACUAAUAAAAUAAAUCAUUUAACCGAAUUGGAAGCCUCUAAUAACAAUAGGCCCUAUCUCUAAGUCAUGUCCUCCACAUCUUGAAUCAAGUGGAUCAAAGAUGGUUCUCCUUCUUUCAAGCCCAUCUUGAGUGUUGGGCUCUUGCUAGCUUUGUCCCAAGUGGAUUGCACCAAUCCGUGCAUUGCUUCCUUGAUCUUCUUGGCCUUUAAUCAUGUAAUUAGCUCAUCUGGAACUUGCAAAUGAUCUUUAAGAGUAGGCCCACCUUGGUUCCCAUCAGGAAAGGUUCCAUGUGAAAGGCACUUGCACAUGGGUUAGUCGAUCCUAAGAGACGGGGGAAGCUUGUCUGAUAGCAUGUUGGACAUAAGCUUCGAAAGGGAAUCGGGUUAAAAGGAGUCCAGAGACGUCAGCAAGGGCCCGAGGAAGAGUUAUCUUUUCUUUUUAAUAGCUUGCCCACCCUAGAAACGGCUCAGCCGGAGGUAGGGUCCAGUGGCUAGAAGAGCACUGCACUGCGCAUGGUGUCUGAUGCACCCCCGGCGGCCCAUGAAAAUCUGGAGGAUCGAGUGCCAUCCAUGCCAGGUCGUACUCAUAACUGCAUCAGGUCGAUGGAACAAUGUAGGUAAGGGAAGUUAACAAAAUGGAUCCAUAACCUCAGCAAAAAGAUUGACUCUAAGGGCUGGGCAAGGGGGUCCCAGUCCCGAAGCCGUCAGCUGUCAGUGGACUGCU